rnacentral:RNase_P_RNA from 1 species
AGACUGAUAAGGGGGAGGAAAGUCCGGGCUCCAUAGAGCAGGGUGCCAGGUAACGCCUGGGGGCGCAAGCCUACGACAAGUGCAACAGAGAGCAAACCGCCGAUGGCCUCUCCUUCGGGAUGGGAUCAGGUAAGGGUGAAAGGGUGCGGUAAGAGCGCACCGUGCGACUGGCAACAGUUCGUAGCAGGGUAAACUCCACCCGGAGCAAGACCAAAUAGGCCUCCACAUAGCGUUGCUCGCGUUAGGAGGCGGGUAGGUUGCUUGAGCCAGUGAGUGAUUGCUGGCCUAGAGGAAUGGCUACUACCGCGCAAGCGGAACAGAACCCGGCUUAUACGUCGACUCCACCU